rnacentral:lncRNA from 1 species
AAUCAGCAUUCAGGAAAGGCAAUUCUGAUAGGAGUAAUAAUUCAUUUUUUACGAUUCACUCUUUUGUGGGCGGAAGGAUGGUCUUGUAAUUAAGGCCCUGGGCUCCGGAGAGUUGGGUUCAUUUUCUGGCCCUGCCAAAGACUUCCCAUGUGAUCUCAAGCAAGUCUCUCAGGAGGAGAUUUUUAAAGGCACAAAGGGCAGGAGAAGUUCCUCGUCUCCUUUUCCUGUGAACUAUUCCCCAGUUGGGCUACCGGUGCUGACUGACAAGAAAACUGAUUUUUUGCAGAGCAGUGAAUAACUACACCACAUACAAAGGAAUGCAGGUCGUCUCGCAGCCUCUCACUCAAACCAGCGAGAACUUCUUGUCUACAUCACCCUUCCACUGGCAAAUAACAUUGAGUACUUCUUCCCAUCUGUCUUCACUGACUUCUCUAAGACAUCAACAAAUCAGAUGUCAAUCAGGCCUUCCUGCACAACCCACUAGACUGCAGAACAUCCUUCCCCUCUUUCAUAUUUCUUGGGUUUUCUUCUCUUUUUACUAUAGAUUAAGCAUUUCCAGACUCACUGGAACUCCACACCUUUAGGCAAUAUCUUGAGUGGCCACUAUAAAAACAACUGAUAGUGUUUCAUGAUGUUCAUCAUUCCUGCAGCACUUGUCCGAACACUAGCCCAGUAAAUCCUUUUAAUAUUGCAGUAGAUUGGGAUUUUUACUUUUGUUUUUUCGUUUUUAGCCAGCAGGGCAUACAGAUCAUGGCCACGCUAAAGGAACAUGAAAUGUUUUUGAUUCUGUUUAAUGAUGGGGACGUUUAAAUAGCCACGACUAGAGAAGAUCAAAUUAGUCAUUGUGAAUACCAUUUGUUGCUAAUUC